CCUACGGGAGGCAGCAGUGAGGAAUAUUGGUCAAUGGACGAGAGUCUGAACCAGCCAAGUAGCGUGAAGGAUGACUGCCCUAUGGGUUGUAAACUUCUUUUAUAAAGGAAUAAAACGAGCCACGUGUGCCUUUUUGCAUGUACUCUAUGAAUAAGGAUCGGCUAACUCCGUGCCAGCAGCCGCGGUAAUACGGAGGAUGCGAGCGUUAUCCGGAUUUAUUGGGUUUAAAGGGAGCGUAGGUGGGUUGUUAAGUCAGUGGUGAAAGUUUGCGGCUCAACCGUAAAAUUGCAGUUGAUACUGGCAGUCUUGAGUACAGUUGAGGUAGGCGGAAUGCGUGGUGUAGCGGUGAAAUGCUUAGAUAUCACGAAGAACCCCGAUUGCGAAGGCAGCUUACUAAACUGUGACUGACAUUGAUGCUCGAAAGUGUGGGGAUCAAACAGGAUUAGAUACCCCUGUAGUC
rnacentral:rRNA from 1 species